GGCUGGAAACCGUAGGGAGCAUCUUCUCUCGGACUCGGGACCUGGUUCGGGCCGGGGUGCUGAAGGAGAAGCCCCUGUGGUUUGACGUAUAUGACGCCUUUCCCCCGCUGAGGGAGCCCGUCUUCCAAAGGCCUCGAGUGCGAUAUGGCAAAGCCAAAGCUCCCAUCCAAGACAUCUGGUACCACGAGGAUCGGAUUAGAGCGUGAGUGCUCAGCCCUGUAGUGGACAGGAGGCAACAGAACUUCAGAAGGGAAGGUUUCGGUAGCAGUCUGGGAAUUCAAACAUGAAAUUGAGUCAGGGGUUUGCCCUGUGGAGAAGGCUUAUCUAGCCAAAUUAGGGAGGCAGCACCCCUUCCUCAUAGUGAAACUGAAGUUCUGAAAAGUGGAAUCUGGAGCCCAGCAACCGAAAGAUCAUUGCAAUUAUAGCCGCAUGUUUCUGGGCAUCUGCUUUGGGCCAGGCACUGUACUAAGCUCUUUGCAAGCAUUAUCUCAUUCUCUAAAGGCCUUACUCUAACUUGUAAGGAAGGCAUUCUUGUUUCCAUUUUAUUCAAGGAGACUGCGAAGCUCAAGGAAAUUAGCUAACUUCUUGUAAUUACUAAAUAUAUAGGAGGGUGGCAGAUCUGGGAAUCACAUCUCUGACUCCAAGCUUAUGGUGAUCAUUAUGCCGGCCUUCUCCACGAGUGGAGAUAGGAGGAACGUGGUCUGUG
rnacentral:lncRNA from 10 species